GAUGAACGCUGGCGGCGUGCCUAAUACAUGCAAGUCGAGCGAACGGACGAGAAGCUUGCCUCUCUGUUGUUAUCGGCGGACGGGUGAGUAAAACGUGGAUAAACUACCUAUAAGACUGGGAUAAAUUUUGGAAACAGCAGCUAAUACCGCAUAAUAUUUUGAACUGCACGGUUCAAAAGUGAAAGACGGUCUUGUUGUCACUUAUAGAGGGAUCCGCGCUGCAUUAGCUAGUUGGUAAGGUAACGGCUUACCAAGGCAACGACGCAUAGCCGACCUGAGAGGGUGAUCGGCCACACUGGGACUGAGAAACGGUCCAGACUCCUACGGGAGGCAGCAGUAGGGAAUCUUCCGCAAUGGGCGAAAGCCUGACGGAGCAACGCCGCGUGAGUGAUGAAGGUUUUCGGAUCGUAAAACUCUGUUGUUAGGGAAGAACAUAUGUGUUAGUAACUGUGCGUAUCUUGACGGUACCUUAUCAGAAAGCCACGGCUAACUACGUG
rnacentral:rRNA from 1 species